CGAAAAACGCUCGUUAACGAGGGGACGGAUGCUCGUAUGAAAAAUCUAUUUUAUUCGUCCGUCUGGUUUCGCGAUAAAAUUCAUGCAACGCGAUUUUGAUAAACAAGCGUUAAUUUAGAGCGAUGAAGCGAAAGUUUCGAGUAACAAGGAAACGGGAGUGCAAGAUAUCGUGGAUGGAAUUUCUGUCGUGCGCGCGGCUAUGAAGCUUCGCUUCCUCGAGGUUUCGUAAACAGCGUUCAUAAAUUUCAAUAUCAAUGAUUGUUAAUGUCAGGAAUUGACGCACUUUACUCCAAUCAUUACCGUAUUCCUAAUCAGAAUUUUUAUCUCUCGAAUAUCUGUUUCAUGCAUCGCAUCGACUAGUUUUUGCACCGAUCCGACCUUGCGUGCACUGCUAGCUGCAACUCUAAUAACGAGGUCUGCGAACGGACGUGAUCAAUUACGAUACGAGAUCUACUGGAAUCUGUAAAUAUCUCCCGUAUUUUGCUCGAGAGGAAAAACGAGGGAGAUAAUAAGAGAGGAAGUAUACGUGAUCAAUCGCGAAUCACUGAACAUUGCGCCACAGAGAUAAUUUGCGCAAUUGCCAGAUGUGGAAACUUACCACGCCUAAGGAUACACCGAGGAAUAUCAGCUUUGCCAUGAGGCUAGGCAGAUGGCAUAACUAUUUAAUAAUGUCGUGCAAAUGAUCGAUAAACCGAUGUACACUGUUUACGACACUUGAGCGAAGCACGACUAGGAAUUUUGUCGAGAAAAAGGAAAGGAAAAUCGUCACACGUGACACUUCGAGCGUAUUUGCGGUCAGGGACCGUGCGACCGACCUCGGGAUCAUUCGAGAGAUAUGUAAACACCGAAAGUGGGAGAAACUACCGUGUUACUUACCAUCGUAAGUAUGAAUCAACCAGCCGAAUCCGCGAACGCCGGUCUUGUCAUGCCUCGCUCGCGACGUUGUCCUACGUAUGGAUGUCGGGUUUGUUCAAGAUACUGAUAUCAGACUGUUAUCGCGAUCUACUCGCGUAUCUAUCAAGAAGCAAUGACAUUGUGGACUCCAAGAUGUUGGUAGAUCCCGAUCGGAUUACUCGCGGUCCCCCGAUCAAUUACAAAAAGGAUCAAGUUUGACUUGAGAAAUCCGUGAGAGAAUCCAACGUCGAUGACCGUCCAGUCACGAUAGUGGCGAAUCGCGAGCAAGGUUUCAAAAAAGAAGAGCAAAGGAAAACGGAAAGAGGAGAAAAUGGGAGAGAAA